AGUGAACGCUGGCGGUAGGCCUAACACAUGCAAGUCGAACGGCAGCACAGUAAGAGCUUGCUCUUACGGGUGGCGAGUGGCGGACGGGUGAGGAAUACAUCGUAAUCUACUUUUUCGUGGGGGAUCACGUAGGGAAACUUACGCUAAUACCGCAUACGACCUACGGGUGAAAGCAGGGGAUCUUCGGACCUUGCGCGAUUGAAUGAGCCGCUGUCGGAUUAGCUAGUUGGCGGGGUAAAGGCCCACCAAGGCGACGAUCCGUAGCUGGUCUGAGAGGAUGGUCAGCGACACUGGAACUGAGACACGGUCCAGACGCCUACGGGAGGCAGCAGUGGGGAAUAUUGGACAAUGGGCGCAAGCAUGAUCCAGCCAGACCGCGUGGGUGAAGAAGGCCUUCGGGUUGUAAAGCCCUUUUGUUGGGAAAGAAAAGCAGCAGGUUAAGACCACGCUGUUCUGACGGUACCCAAAGAAUAAGCACCGGCUAACUUCGUG
rnacentral:rRNA from 1 species